AAAUGAAUAGACGGGGGCCCGCACAAGCAGUGGAGUAUGUGGUUUAAUUCGAAGCAACGCGAAGAACCUUACCAGGGCUUGACAUCCCUCUGACAGGUAUAGAGAUAUACCCUCUUUUCGAAGCGGAGGAGACAGGUGGUGCAUGGUUGUCGUCAGCUCGUGUCGUGAGAUGUUGGGUUAAGUCCCGCAACGAGCGCAACCCUUGUUGUUAGUUGCCAGCAUUAAGUUGGGCACUCUAGCGAGACUGCCGGUGAUAAAUCGGAGGAAGGUGGGGACGACGUCAAAUCAUCAUGCCCCUUAUGUCCUGGGCUACACACGUACUACAAUGGCGGCCACAAAGGGGAGCAAAACCGCGAGGCAGAGCAAAUCCCAAAAAGCCGUCCCAGUUCGGAUUGCAGGCUGCAACUCGCCUGCAUGAAGUCGGAAUUGCUAGUAAUGGCAGGUCAGCAUACUGCCGUGAAUACGUUCCCGGGCCUUGUACACACCGCCCGU
rnacentral:rRNA from 1 species